UACGAAGGGGGCUAGCGUUGCUCGGAAUCACUGGGCGUAAAGGGUGCGUAGGCGGGCCUUUAAGUCAGAGGUGAAAUCCUGGAGCUCAACUCCAGAACUGCCUUUGAUACUGCAGAUCUUGAGUUCGGGAGAGGUGAGUGGAACUGCGAGUGUAGAGGUGAAAUUCGUAGAUAUUCGCAAGAACACCAGUGGCGAAGGCGGCUCACUGGCCCGAUACUGACGCUGAGGCACGAAAGCGUGGGGAGCAAACAGG
rnacentral:rRNA from 1 species